CCCUUAGAUGAUUUGGGCUGCACGCGCGCUACACUGUUCGACGCAGCGAGUCUUAACCUUGACCGAAAGGUUUGGGUAAUCUUCAGCAAAGUCGAACGUGAUGGGGAUCGAUCAUUGCAAUUAUUGAUCGUGAACGAGGAAUUCCUAGUAAGUGCAAGUCAUCAGCUUGCGCUGAUUACGUCCCUGCCCUUUGUACACACCGCCCGUCGCUACUACCGAUUGAAUGGUUUAGUGAGAUCUCUGGAUUGACGCUGGCUAGGGGGCGACCCUUGGCCAGACUGUUGAGAAACUGCUCAAACUUGAUCAUUUAGAGGAAGUAAAAGUCGUAACA
rnacentral:rRNA from 1 species